UGGGGAAUAUUGCACAAUGGGCGCAAGCCUGAUGCAGCCAUGCCGCGUGUGUGAAGAAGGCCUUCGGGUUGUAAAGCACUUUCAGCGAGGAGGAAGGUGGUGAGCUUAAUACGCUCAUCAAUUGACGUUACUCGCAGAAGAAGCACCGGCUAACUCCGUGCCAGCAGCCGCGGUAAUACGGAGGGUGCAAGCGUUAAUCGGAAUUACUGGGCGUAAAGCGCACGCAGGCGGUUUGUUAAGUCAGAUGUGAAAUCCCCGGGCUCAACCUGGGAACUGCAUUUGAAACUGGCAAGCUAGAGUCUCGUAGAGGGGGGUAGAAUUCCAGGUGUAGCGGUGAAAUGCGUAGAGAUCUGGAGGAAUACCGGUGGCGAAGGCGGCCCCCCUGGACGAAGACUGACGCUCAGGUGCGAAAGCGUGGGGCAGCAAACAGGAUUAGAUACCCUGGUAGUCCAGCGCUGUAAACGAUGUCGAUUUGGAGGUUGUGCCCUUGAGGCGUGGCUUCCGGAGCUAACGCGUUAAAGUCGACCGCCUGGGGGAGUACGGCC
rnacentral:rRNA from 1 species